AUACGGAGGGUGCAAGCGUUAAUCGGAAUUACUGGGCGUAAAGGGCGCGUAGGUGGUUAGGUCAGUCGGAUGUGAAAGCCCCGGGCUCAACCUGGGAAUGCCAUUCGAUACUGCCUAACUAGAGUAUGGUAGAGGGAAGCGGAAUUCCGGGUGUAGCGGUGAAAUGCGUAGAUAUCCGGAGGAACACCAGUGGCGAAGGCGGCUUCCUGGAUCAAUACUGACACUGAGGCGCGAAAGCGUGCGGAGCAAACAGGAUUAGAAACCCCAGUAGUCC
rnacentral:rRNA from 1 species